AGCAAUGGGUUUUGUCGCAGGCCUGGACAGCUGUUCUGCCUGCAGGGAUCUGGCUCUGCUCAAAUGUGAAGAGGCGAUGCACAGAAAGGAAGAGUGUGCAUGUGUGUGCAGAUUUGGGUAGGUGACAUGGUGCCUGCAAGGAUUCUCCGGGAAUUCACUAUCAGCCUGAUCCUCAGAGGAAGCGAAUCUGAGCUACAUCAGCCCCAGACCUGCCAGCUGGGUUCUCGGGAAAGCAAGGAAGAACACAACGCCUUUUGGCGGUUCUUGGAGGAGCUGAGCUCUCAUCACUUCCUGUGGGCCUUUCUGCGCCUAGGAUCCUCUCUCCUGCAUCAGCCAAGCUUGAGGCAGAGUUAGUGCUAACCACUGGGGCACCCGCUGAGCACUUGCUAAGCAUCAUCUCUUUAUACCCUCACCACAAUCCUGCAAGACUUUGUGAGCGGAUGGCACCUGGAAUGGUUUCCUACACCCUGGGAUCCCCAGACUCUGCGGCACACUCAAGGAGAGAAUGACAGCUGUUGUCAGAAACAAGCAACAAAGCUAUUUCCAAAUCGUUACCUCUAGUGCUCAGGAUUCCCGGCAAGGAGAAUGGAUCUCUGGGAUCAGCCGGUGAAGCUCACACCUUCUUCAUUCAGCUCUUCAAAUAGCACAGUGUGUGUUCUUUUUCUGCAAUGUGUCCAAAGCCUAAAGCCAGCGGUGCUCACCAGUUGAGAACCACUGUCCUUGCAACGCGCAGAUGAUGGUACCCAGCUGCCUCAUUGACCACAAGCCCCAAAUUGCCCGGUUCAGCAUCCUAGGGUCUGUGCCAGCCUGAGAAUGGGCUGUGGCUUGGGAGAUGUUUUGCACUGGCAUCCAGGAGCCCAGUCGACCCCUGUGGAUCACGGCUCCCCAUUUCACAGUCUAAAUCGAAGUGCCCCCUCUGCCAUGUAUAGACUGCAGCUUCCCCAUGCCGGGUCAGAGAUGUUGACACUGACUUGGAGAAGCCAACGUGCAAAUCAAAUGAAGACAAAGGAGAACCGAGGAUGGGUGGAAGCAGAUGGGAGAAAGGUGUGGAGGUGAUAAUGGAAGGCUCACUGAACUCAUAGGGAGACGGGGCAUGGCGGCGGGUGAGGGACAGGGGCCUGGGGUCAGCAUGAUUCUCCUCCUCAUGAGUGUGUGAUGUGGGACCCGGACAUUGAGGUUUAGUUUUUCUAUUUGUAAAGAUGAAGACAUGACUCGUUCUUCCACCAGGAGUCUAUGUUUAGAGAGAUGCGAUGAGGUGCCAUGUUAAGACACACUGCCUUGCUCAGAAGUGCUCAAUAAAACGUAUCUGUCAUCA